AUGGACUUAGAGGAUUUUACAACUGCUUGCAAACUUCCACAAUGGGGUAGUAUAAGGGAUCCUCGCAAAUCUGAAUUUAGAGAUUUUCUUGCUAAUAUAACUGUGGGAGAAUCUAGAGAUAUUACACAAGCUACCAUAGGGAGCAUUGACUUUCUUGCUAUACAUUAUUUUGCUCUCUUCAUAGGUAGAUGCAUAAAUGGUAAAGAUGAGGCAUGUCACAUGUGUGUCCCCGAUCUUAGUAUUCUUAGGAGUGCUGUGUUAGGAGACAAAUCAUAUAAUUUGGGAGCCAUUGUUGCACGUAGGUUGCAUCUUAAUAGACGUAAUGGAGAUUUCUUUGGUGGAAUUUAUGCAACCCGCAUAGCUAAUUUUCUUUGUAUAGAUGUACGCGAAGAUGAUAUUGAAUUACCUCCUGCCUAUCUAGAUUUUAAUGAUAUGGUUCACCACUAG
rnacentral:rRNA from 1 species